rnacentral:misc_RNA from 1 species
GAUGAAGAACGUAGCAAAAUGCGAUAAGUAGUGUGAAUUGCAGAAUUCAGUGAAUCAUCGAAUCUUUGAACGCACCUUGCGCUCGUCGGUAUUCCGACGAGCAUGCCUGUUUGAGUCUCAUGAAUCUCUCAAACCUCGAAAGUUUGCGCUUUCGAUGGCUUUGGACUUGGAGGUCUAUGCCGGCGCGAGUCGGCUCCUCUCUAAAUGCAUUAGCUCGGAUCAUACGUGUCGAUCUGCGGUGUGAUAAACGUCUACGUCGCGGCAUUUGACACCUCGCUUUUUUGCGAGCUGGUCUGGCUUCUAAUCGCCUUCGGGCAACACAUCUGACAUCUGAGCUCAAAUCAGGUAGGACUACCCGCUGAACUUAAGCAUAUCAAUAAGCGGAGGA